rnacentral:lncRNA from 1 species
GCUGAAGCUGGAGGGGAUAUCACCUUCCCCAUCUGAUCUCCCAAGUCAGCUGGCUUGUGCUGCCAUCAGGCAUCUGGGUGGAGUUUUGGGAGGAGGCUUUGUCUUCAGCUGAAAAUGGGGGAACUUCAAGGGGCCCCCAGGAACGCUCCAGGAGCAGGGGUGAAGGUGCCACAUCUGUGCUGCGAUGCUUUUCUCUGCAUCUGUUUUCUACAGCAGGCAGGCGUCAGGGAGCCUGGCAGAGCUGAAUUUGUCCCCUGCAGAAGCUGGUAGGUGACAGUUCGCACAAGUCCUCAUUUGGAAGCUCUAUUUUGAAUGGAAAAACGGGCUCUCAGCUAAACCAAGCUGCAAUUGACAGUGUCUGUGAGGUUUUUGUUUGUCGAGCAAGCAGUACAAGUAUUAACGGAGGGGAAAGGGAGCCAAACCAAAAAAUUGCAAGUGCCCUUAAGUAAAUGUUCUCAUCCUUCAGCCCAAACCUACAACACAUCAGCAGAAAAAAAUGAAUGAUAGCAUUUAAUGGGAGCUGUAGCCUUAUUUUUCUACUUUGCUUACAGGACAAAAGCCCCAGCAGACCACAUAUCCUGUGCCAUGUCUCGACUGGGGCAUUCAACUUCUUGUGAGCGAAUCCUUCCAAAGCCAAGAGACUUCUUCUGGACUUCAGAGGCUCGGCGCUGUUUUGUUCUUGUUUAUGGCUCUGGUGCCAAAGUAAAUCGAGGGGCUGAUAAACACUGCGCACCCUGCCAUGCUCUGUCAAUGGACGUCUUCCUUGGAAUUAGGUGGCUAAACAACAUAAAAGUAUUUUCAUUCUGCUUUAUGCUCUCAUCUGUCUCCUAAACAAUUAUUUUCAGAUUUAUGCUGGAACAUGAACUCAGUAGGACUUAUUUUGCUUUCCUGCUUUUCCAUCCCACUGAUAAGCUGCCACGCCAGCCCAUGUGCGGAGUUUCUCACCAGCACUGUGCUCAUGUGCUCGGCUUGCAGCCUUCCCUCGUGUGGAAAUCUGCUCCGUUCAGAAACGCAGAGUUAUUUAAGGGGAGCUUUCACAGUAGCCAUUUGAUGUUCAGCCUUUUCGGGUGUCUGGACCCUAAUUAGAGAAGGGAAUUACAGAGCAGGAAGUUGGCAGGACUCAAAACUGUGGGUUCACCCCAAGGCUACGAUCUUCUGGGUUGCUGCUGCAUCUGCACAGUGAUUAGCAGCUCCUGUGCCCCCUGAUUUACUAGAAUACAAUAGAAGCCUUCUAAUUGUCUGUUAAUCAGAGUUAAUUGCUCACUAGGAAGGAGCUCAGGCCUAUCUAGCUGGUAGAAAAGAGAGCUGAAAGCUCCUGGGUGAAGGCUGGAAGCCCUGAGGCAGGCCCCUGGAAGAGCUGCCCUGCUCCUCCAGCACCCGGGCCAGGCCUAACCCAGCUCACUGAGCCCCAUGUUCUUGUUUAUGGCUCUGGGGCUGUCCUUUGGCCUGUCUUGCCCCUUGUCAGCACCCCAGUGGCCACAAGUCCGCGUUUUUCUCCCUGGUACCAAUUCUGCAGGGCAGAAUAGCCGCGUGGUGCUGGGGCAGAGGCCCUGCAGCCACCACAGCACGGACUUCUCCUGCCCGUGGCCCAAGGGGACAGCAGCCCUUGCCCCGCUCUAUUAGCACCGGUAACAGGUCUCAUUCAUUCUCAUUCUCAAUUUCUCAUGAGAAAUUCCCCCAGAUUAGUUUUCCUUGCAAAAAUUUCAGGGCGGCAUCACCUUGAGGCUUCACAAGUAAUGUGGAGGGAAUGAGAGGCUGGAGGGAGACAGAGCGAGCUCGGUUAGGUGGUGAGAAGGGAGGACGGACGUGUGUCCAGCAGAUGAAUUUCACAAAGCGAUUGCAAAGAGGAGUAGAACUGGGCUGUGACUCCCUCUGGAAGAGAAAGGGAAAGCCCCCGGCUGAACCUGCGGCCUGAUAGCAAGAGCUGGCUCUGCCCUGGCUCAGGAUAAAUGCAUGGGGUCGGGGGAUUGGCGCUUGUGGGUUUGUUGUUGUAGGGUGGAAUGCGAGCAAUUUCUUGGCACUUAUUUUCCACAGGAUAUUAGCAUUAUAAAGGGAGUUGCUGAGAAGCAAUACUUAAGAUACGGCUGCUGUUGGCUCCGUUCUCCAUGGGUUUUGAGUCUGCUCUGUCCUUUUCCAGUGAGCAUAGCCAGAGGAACAUUUGAUUACUCCACACUUUUUACAUACAAAGCACCCAAAAACCUCUGAGGAAGAAGAGGCCAGAGCAGACAGGAUAAUGUCUUCAUUCAGCACAGCAAAACCUCUUCUUCCUCAUGCCCUUCCUCCCAGCCCCUGCCAGGCCCAGGCUGCAGGAGGCAAGUCCUGGUGCAACGUGCUCUGCAGGAGGUGUGCGACCUGCAGCCUGCAGGGAAGGGUCUCCUGGCAAGGACUAAACAGCAGAUUGAUGCUUUCGAUCCUUUCCUGACAUGUAUGAAGAGGUCCCCAAAGGGUCUUUGUGUUUGUUCGGGCUCUAACUUGCUUUAGGUAUUUAAGGUCUCGGCAGCCUAAUGAGCCUGGGGUAUCCAGGGAAUGCAGGGAUGGACAGAGAAUCAAUGGGGGGACGGUAAAUGAGUGGGAACAAUUUGAACGUGCCCCUCCUCUCACUUGGCUCCUCAAAGCUGUGGGGCUUUGCUGUUUGGGAGGUCUUUGUCUUUCUUACAGCAAGGAGAGUUUGGCUUCCCCACCCCACUUCACCCCUCACCACCCCCCUUUUUCAGGCUCCGUG